GGCGUGCUUAACACAUGCAGUCGAACGGUGAUGCCCAGCUUGCUGGGUGGAUUAGUGGCGAACGGGUGAGUAACACGUGAGUAACCUGCCCUUGACUUCGGGAUAACUCCGGGAAACCGGGGCUAAUACCGGAUAUGAGCUACCUUCGCAUGGGGGUGGUUGGAAAGUUUUUCGGUCAAGGAUGGGCUCGCGGCCUAUCAGCUUGUUGGUGGGGUGAUGGCCUACCAAGGCGACGACGGGUAGCCGGCCUGAGAGGGCGACCGGCCACACUGGGACUGAGACACGGCCCAGACUCCUACGGGAGGCAGCAGUGGGGAAUAUUGCACAAUGGGCGAAAGCCUGAUGCAGCGACGCCGCGUGAGGGAUGAAGGCCUUCGGGUUGUAAACCUCUUUCAGCAGGGAAGAAGCGCAAGUGACGGUACCUGCAGAAGAAGCGCCGGCUAACUACGUGCCAGCAGCCGCGGUAAUACGUAGGGCGCAAGCGUUGUCCGGAAUUAUUGGGCGUAAAG
rnacentral:rRNA from 1 species